UGUCAUUUCCAACAAAGACAUUUACUAUAAAGUUUAAAGAAACACUUAAUGGGGUUAUUAAAAUCCAAUCAAGAUCAACCUUGUAAUGUUUAGUGUUGUAAAAUGCAUUCAAUCUCAUUAGUUUUAUAUAUCACCGCUAUUUAAAGGAGUGUCAAGAUUUACACAUGUGGUAAAUAAUGGAGUCUAACCAUUAUAUUUGAUUUAUG
rnacentral:lncRNA from 1 species